ACAGUUUAACAUUUUCUUUAGUGGUGCAACCUUGUUCUGAGAUUACAGGGAAUGCUGAGUUUUAUUAGGGUUCUUUCAACAAACUCAUUUAAUUGUUGCUGCCCCUUAGCUAGUGCUGAGUCACUCUCAAACUUCACAGCAUUCCACGACAGCUCAUCCUUCUUGACUUUCCUUUUUUUUUCCCUUUUCCUUUUUCCUUUUUUAAGUUCUCUUAAUAUUUUUUAUUCCCAACAGACUUGUCUUUGGACAAAAUUGAGAAGAACUCAUAAACUUGGCUUCCUCGCUUCUGCUCCUCAGUUGUGUUGAUGUUCCUUUCAGCUGGUCCUAUAGUACCCCUCCUCAGGAAUGUCUCCCCAGUGCAAGGACAAAGACUGAAGAGACUGCUAUAUUGAUGGACUCUCAAGCCAACUAUGAAGUUGAAACAAAGAAAGUGAUCACCUGAAGACACCUCCUCUGCUAAGAAACACCCCCAAAUUGUGCAGCUUCUGCCACUAGAACUCUCAGAACAAGAGACAAUCUUUUCAAGAAACAGAAAAACUCAAUAAUGACAUCUAGAUUUUCAUGAGCCAAGAACUUUCCCUUCCUCAUGUGUAUUCCUCUGUUUGUACUUAAAUUCAUGUGACAUUCAUUUUUUUCCUAGUAUGGAUAUGCUUAUUAAUGCACUUGUUUCAAAAUCCCAAAUUGCACAAAUGUGUUAAUAUUUUAAGAAACAAAAUGAAUCCUACAAGGAGAAUGAUUUUUAGCCACACAUAGGGUUGGAUCUUGAGAGUGACCUACAGAAUAAAAGUACUUUUAAAAUAAAGUAGUCAGAGGCUAUUCAAAGGGUAAAAUAAUCAUAGUACCACAUUGGUCCACUUGACACUAACCAAUCGAUCAUUUUUUUUUAAUCAAGAAAGCUAGAUUCUAUCAGAUAAAAUCACUGCUUCUAAAGAGUUUAAAUCUAGUUAGAAAAAGUUAUAGAAAUGUUUGCAAAGAUAAGUAACAGAUAGAGUCAGUAGAGGAUAAGAUCAAAAACAAAACCAAGCAAAAGAUGAGUUCAGGGGAGUUUGCCAUCAAGUUGGCAAAACUGACUUACUUAGGGAAGAAAGUUAUAAAACAGGAAAAUAUGAGAUGAACCUUGAGUGAUGUGGAAGAUUUAGAUAAAUGGAAAGGAAGGAGAAAAUGGAGUUCUUUAGGUGGUUGUAAUUGGAGGAGGAAAUGAAUACACACAUCUUGUUGACUUAAACCCAGACAUUCAGCAGCUCUCUAUACAUAUCUGGAAAAGACUGCACAGUCACCUCCUGUCUCUCACCCCAGGUAUUACUUAGAAUUAUUAUCAUAUUUCCCUUCCUUUAAAGUAAGUAAGGGUGAUUGGUGACAAUAUGGAGAACUAUGAUUUUUCCAUUAACCUAAUAAUAAUUGGUAUUUAUUGAGUUCUGUUAAGCAUUUUACAUAUUAACUCACUUAAGCCUUUCAACAGCCUUGCAAAAUAGGUAUUAUUAUCCCCAUUUUACAGGCAAGAAAACUGAGGUUUAAGUAACUUGCCGAAGUGCCAUAUACAGGGCUCACAUUCAGUAUUGCAGUUGCAAAGCUCAUGAUCUAUAGUGCCAAGUUGCAAUAUUGUAGUCAAUGUCACAAUUAUUACCCCUUUUUAUAUUCCUUGAUAUUUUUCCAUGGCAAACAAUUAGCUAUUUCAUUUAAUAAUCACCUAAAACUUUUCAGUCUUCUGAUUAAAAUUACGCUGGAGUGAUAGAAUGUAUUUUCAUGAUAGAAAUUGGGAAAAAAAAUGGGGAAUGAAGUUUAUCAGCAUUUCAGACUUGUUUUUUUUUUUUUUUUUUGCAAGACUUUGAUGAGAUUGUUCACUUUUGUCUAUGUAAAAUCCCAAAUCCUUGAGAAUAAAAAAGGGGGAGGUUUAAGUCACUUGUUGCAAUGCCCUUUUUAAUAGAGGCAAUAAAUCUAAAGGCCAUAAAUUUAGAGUGACUUACAGAAGAUCGAACUUUGGAGUGUGGCAGAGUAAGGGAUGGAAACCGGGCCCUCCAGUUCACUAUCAGUAGCUUUUGCACUGGUCUGCCCUUCCUAAAUUAAGUAUGCACUUCAAUUUGAUGAGUGGAAACAGUCUAUCUGGGCAGUAACCAGGGAGCUUUGUGCCUAGUAGAUUGCUUCUGUUCUGCACUUCUUUGGUUUCCCACCUCAAUGUAAAAAAUAGCUAGCAAUGAAGUCCAGAAGUUGUCAAUGGUUCAUCCCCAGAAGAAUGCAUAAUGUCCAAAGUUGUAUGUGUAUGAUGUCUUCAAUGGUAUUAAGUUAUUUCAAAUUCUUAGUUCACCUACAUAAAUCAUUUCUAACAAGCAUCUUCUUAACCAACUUUAUGCACAGUGUAUGUUUGUAAGUGCUUCUGCACGAAUGUUUAUACAUGACUGUUUCCAUAGUACUUAUGUUUUUAAAAAUAUUCAGUCAUUUCCUACUAUAAUCCUCAUGUAUCCAUGUAACUGACUCAAAAAUACUUCAGCCACAGAAAGCUAAAACUGAGCAAAUCUCAUUCUUCUUUUCCAUCCCCUUUGCAUGUGGCUGGCAUUUAGUAAUGAUUAAUAAUAUGGCCAGCUGAAUAACAGAGGUUUGAGACACAAUUCUUUCUCAAAGGAGUCAGCUAAGCUGGGUCUACUUAUGGACAAACAUCUAAAUGUGUGGAAGUAUCUGAUAUUUGACAAUGGUAAAUUUCCACUUAGCUAGCUAGCAUUGUCAGACUUCAAUCUCCUCAUGGCUCUGGCCGUCCUGUUUUAAGCAUGAUAAUUGUUGGCCACAUCUCACAUAGUUCUCAUUGAGUGAGUUCAUAAAUAAACAGGGUUUUUUUUUUUUUUUAAAGAGCAGCCAAGCACAAAGUGUGACUUUGUUGACAUUUUAUGUGACUUUGUCAUAUGUUCCUAACCCCCAAUAAAAGCAAUGUUGCAUCAACUGUGAA
rnacentral:lncRNA from 1 species